CGCUCCCGGCUCCCUCCGCCGCCUCCCAGCCGCUCCCGCAGCCCCAGAGAAGGAGGAACAGAAACAUCCUCCUGUGAUUUAUUUGUCCCUAAGUCUGGGCAGAGCUGCACUUCCCAACUCCUGUGAAGAGCUGGGCAAGGAUGGAUGGGACAUAAAUCAAAGCAGAAGUCCUGGAGCCUUAGUCACCAGUCUGAUGGGCUUUCAGUUCACACUUUACUCCCUGACACUUGAAUUGUUUCUGUACUGUUGACAAAGGAAAAAAUGGCCUCUACUCUAGGCCCACCACCGCCGUACUACGAGAACAGGGGCUUCCAGCCAGAGCCCAUCUACGCUGCCAGGCAGGCAGCAGGUGCUAGUCCUUACCCACAGCUCUUCUCUCCAAGCGCUCCCUCCGUGCCAAGCUACGUCCCAAGGGUUGCCACCCACCAGUCCAGCAGGCCGGUAGCACCCCCACCCAGGAGAA
rnacentral:lncRNA from 1 species